rnacentral:rRNA from 1 species
GACGAACGAUGGCGGCGUGCUUUACACAUGCAAGUCGAACGGCGUGGAGAACGGGUGAGUAACACGUGGGUGAACUGCCUUGCACCUCGGGAUAAGCUUGGGAAACUGGGUCUAAUACCGGAUAGUGCAAGAUGAGCUCUCGGCCUAUCAGCUUGUUGGUGGGGUAAUGGCCUACCAAGGAGUCGACGGGUUGCCGGCCUGAGAGUGUGUACGGCCACAUUGGGAGUGAGAUACGGGCCAUACUCCUACGGGAGGCAGCAGUGGAGAAUAUAGCACAAUUGGCGCAAGCCUGAUGCAUCGACGCCGCGGGGGGGAUGAAGGCCUUCGGGUUGUAAACUCCUUUCGACAGGGACGCGGUACCUGUAUAAGAAGCACCGGCUAACUACGUGCCAGCAGCCGCGGUAAUAC